CAAGAGCUAAAUCAACAGAUGGCCUCCCUUCAAAACAUCAUCAUACAGGUUCAGGAGCUUUACCAUGGCCUAGCCUUCUGCUCAGAGCUGAAGAAGAUGGAAGGCAAGAUGGAUGCAGUGCAGAAGAAUAAGCCAUCAGAGGUCCGACUUCUGGAGAAGAUGAGGCUGAACUGCGAGGUGUUUACAGAUGAGAUCACACUGAUCCACCUCAAUUGACAUGUGGCUCACCUGCGUGAAAUUCUGGAGAAGAUGCAGGCCAAGGCUGGUGGAGUUAAACGGAGUGAGCUUCUUGGGGAGCAGUGAGGAUAAGCUGGAGCUGCUGCUUAAGACACCCACUGCUCACAUCAUUGUUCCUUGCCAGCUGGCCAAAGAACUUCCACAGGAAGGCCCUUCUGCCCCCGACUUCAGACAGACUUCAGCUCUGAGGGAUCAUCAGGACAUAGAAGUGCUUCAGAAACACCAAGCAAUGUAAACCAAAUAAACACUUUAAAGUUUAACA
ensembl:lncRNA